rnacentral:lncRNA from 1 species
CUUUACUUCUCUCAGGUACUGGUCAUGCAAUCUGCACAUUUGUGUUGAUAGAAGCGGGACUUUCUCAGGCCUGACCAGAUGGUUCCCGAGGACAUGUGUUCAUGCAAAUUGGGUAGCCAUGGGGGCUUCCUCGAGGCCUUGGAGUUGCUCAACACUGAGACCCUUUUUUUAGCAAGAGGGUCGGUUGCCACGUUAUCUG